GCAAGGNUAAACCUCAAAAGGAAUUGNCGGGGACCNGCACAAGCGGUNGAGCAUGUAGUUUAAUUNNAUGCAACGCGAAGAACCUUACCUACCCUUNACAUCCUCGGAACUUUCUAGAGAUAGAUUNGUGCCUUCGGGAACCGAGUGACAGGUGCUGCAUGGCUGUCGUCAGCUNGUGUCGUGAGAUGUUNGGUUAAGUCCCGUAACGAGCGCAACCCUUGUCCUUAGUUGCCACUUCCGCUUCGGCGGNAAGCACUCUAAGGAGACUGCCGGUGAUAAACCGGAGGAAGGUAGGGACGAUGUCAAGUCAUCAUGGCCCUUAUGGGUAGGGCUACACACGUGCUACAAUGGGCAGUACAGAGGGUUGCGAAACCGCGAGGUGGAGCUAAUCUCAGAAAGCUGUUCGUAGUCCGGAUCGGAGUCUGCAACUCGACUCCGUGAAGUUGGAAUCGCUAGUAAUCGCGGAUCAGAAUGUCGCGGUGAAUACGUUCUCGGGCCUUGUACACACCGCCCGUCACACCAUGGGAGUGGGUUGUACCAGAAGUAGGUAGACUAACCUUCGGGAGGUCGCUUACCANCGGUAUGAUUCAUGAACUGGGGUGAAGUCGUAACAAGGUAA
rnacentral:rRNA from 1 species